rnacentral:lncRNA from 1 species
UCUGCCCACCUCGGCCUCCCAAAGUGCUGGGAUUACCUACUGGUAGUGCGCUGAACAUCUGUGUGUGUCCUUUUGUGCUGGGGUUCUUUGCGUCUUCAUGGGUAUGUCCAGGUGGGUCUGUGUCCCACUAAGCUGAGUGGGUCCCUCUCUUACCCCACUGAAGUGUCUUCCUGGCUACAAUGGUGAUAACUGUGAGGACGACGUGGACGAGUGUGCCUCCCAGCCCUGCCAGCACGGGGGUUCAUGCAUUGACCUCGUGGCCCGCUAUCUCUGCUCCUGUCCCCCAGGAACGCUGGGGGUGCUCUGCGAGAUUAAUGAGGAUGACUGCGGCCCAGGCCCACCGCUGGACUCAGGGCCCCGGUGCCUACACAAUGGCACCUGCGUGGACCUGGUGGGUGGUUUCCGCUGCACCUGUCCCCCAGGAUACACUGGUUUGCGCUGCGAGGCAGACAUCAAUGAGUGUCGCUCAGGUGCCUGCCACGCGGCACACACCCGGGACUGCCUGCAGGACCCAGGCGGAGGUUUCCGUUGCCUUUGUCAUGCUGGCUUCUCAGGUCC